rnacentral:rRNA from 1 species
GAUGAACGCUAGCUACAGGCUUAACACAUGCAAGUCGAGGGGAAACGACAUUGAAAGCUUGCUUUUGAUGGGCGUCGACCGGCGCACGGGUGAGUAACGCGUAUCCAACCUGCCCACCACUUGGGGAUAACCUUGCGAAAGUAAGACUAAUACCCAAUGAUAUCUCUAGAAGACAUCUGAAAGGGAUUAAAGAUUUAUCGGUGAUGGAUGGGGAUGCGUCUGAUUAGCUUGUUGGCGGGGUAACGGCCCACCAAGGCGACGAUCAGUAGGGGUUCUGAGAGGAAGGUCCGCCACAUUGGAACUGAGACACGGUCCAAACUCCUACGGGAGGCAGCAGUGAGGAAUAUUGGUCAAUGGACGAGAGUCUGAACCAGCCAAGUAGCGUGCAGGAUGACGGCCCUAUGGGUUGUAAACUGCUUUUAUAAGGGAAUAAAGUGAGUCUCGUGAGACUUUUUGCAUGUACCUUAUGAAUAAGGACCGGCCAAUUCCGUGCCAGCCGCCGCCGUAA